CCGUAACUAUAACGGUCCUAAGGUAGCGAAAUUCCUUGUCGGGUAAGUUCCGACCCGCACGAAAGGCGUAAUGAUUUGAGCGCUGUCUCGACAAUGCACCCGGUGAAAUUGAAAUACCAGUGAAGAUGCUGGUUACCUGCGCCAGGACGGAAAGACCCCAUGGAGCUUUACUCCAGCUUGAUACUGGGAUUCGAUAUUGCAUGUACAGGAUAGGUGGGAGACUGAGAACUGAUGACGCCAGUUGUCAGGGAGUCACUGUUGGGAUACCACCCUUGUAGUAUUGGAUUUCUAACCAGCAGCCGUGAACCGGCUGGGGGACAAUGUCAGGUGGGGAGUUUGACUGGGGCGGUCGCCUCCGAAAGGGUAUCGGAGGCGCUCAAAGGUUCCCUCAGAAUGGUUGGAAACCAUUCGAAGAGUGCAAAGGCAGAAGGGAGCUUGACUGCGACACCGACGGGUGGAGCAGGUACGAAAGUAGGACUUAGUGAUCCGGUGGUAUAAAGUGGGAUUGCCAUCGCUCAACGGAUAAAAGCUACCCUGGGGAUAACAGGCUUAUCACUCCCAAGAGUUCACAUCGACGGAGUGGUUUGGCACCUCGAUGUCGGCUCAUCGCAUCCUGGGGCUGAAGUAGGUCCCAAGGGUUGGGCUGUUCGCCCAUUAAAGCGGUACGCGAGCUGGGUUCAGAACGUCGUGAGACAGUUCGGUCCCUAUCCGGCGUGGGCGUAGGAUAUUUGAGAGGAGCUGUCCUUAGUACGAGAGGACCGGGUUGGACUGGCCGCUGGUGAAUCUGUUGUUCUACCAAGAGCAUGGCAGAGUAGCCAAGCCGGGAAGGGAUAAACGCUGAAGGCAUCUAAGCGUGAAGCCCCCCUCAAGAUGAGAUAUCCCAUUCGAAAGAAGUAAGACCCCUUGAAGACGACGAGGUAGAUAGGGCAGAGGUGGAAGUGCGGUAACGCAUGGAGCUGACUGUUACUAAUAGGUCGAGGGCAUAACCAA
rnacentral:rRNA from 1 species